GCCAGGUGUGGUGGCUCACACCUGUAAUCCCAGCACUUUGGGAGGCUGAGGCGGGUGGAUCACCUGAGGUCGGGAGUUCGAGACCAGCCUGACCAACAUGGAGAAACCCUGUCUCUA
rnacentral:SRP_RNA from 1 species